CAAAAGACGAAAACGCUCAAAAAGUAAUGAACAAAUUUAAAUUUUGCGUGAAAAAAUCAAUUUUAACUGCAAAAUAUUACUGUGCGAUAAAGUUCAUUGUAGGUAAAAUUCUCCAGGAUUUUAGUGGCAAUCGCCAGGAACUUAACCUCCAGUGCGCGAGCUAUGGGCGCUAUCACCUCAUUCGUGAAGAGCUCAAAAUUCUCAUUGAUCGUCUGAUUGAUAA
rnacentral:sRNA from 1 species